rnacentral:rRNA from 1 species
CCUACGGGGGGCAGCAGUAGGGAAUAUUGCUCAAUGGGGGAAACCCUGAAGCAGCAACGCCACGUGGAGGAUGAAGGUUUUCGGAUUGUAAACUCCUUUUGUUAGAGAAGAUAAUGACGGUAUCUAACGAAUAAGCACCGGCUAACUCCGUGCCAGCAGCCGCGGUAAUACGGAGGGUGCAAGCGUUACUCGGAAUCACUGGGCGUAAGGAGCGCGUAGGCGGGAUAGCAAGUCAGAUGUGAAAUCCUAUGGCUUAACCAUAGAACUGCAUUUGAAACUGUUAUUCUAGAGUAUGGGAGAGGUAGGUGGAAUGCUUGGUGUAGGGGUAAAAUCCGUAGAGAUCAAGAGGAAUACUCAUUGCGAAGGCGACCUGCUAGAACAUAACUGACGCUGAUGCGCGAAAGCGUGGGGAGCAAACAGGAUUAGAUACCCCAGUAGUC